AUUGAACGCUGGCGGCAUGCCUUACACAUGCAAGUCGAACGGUAACAGGUCUUCGGAUGCUGACGAGUGGUGAACGGGUGAGUACUACAUCGGAACGUGCCUAGUAGUGGGGGAUAACUACUCGAAAGAGUGGCUAAUACCGCAUGAGAUCUACGGAUGAAAGCAGGGGAUCGCAAGACCUUGUGCUACUAGAGCGGCCGAUGGCAGAUUAGGUAGUUGGUGGGAUAAAAGCUUACCAAUCCGACGAUCUGUAGCUGGUCUGCGAGGACGAGCCGACACACUGGUACUGAGACCCGGCCCAGAGUCUUACGGGAGGCAGCAGUGGGGAAUUGUGGACAAUGGGCGCAAGCCUGAUCCAGCAAUGCCGAGUGCAGGAAGAAGGCCUUCGGGUUGUAAACUGCUUUUGUACGGAGCGAAAAGGCUAUCUCUAAUACAGGGGGCUCAUGACGGUACCGUAAGAAUAAGCACCGGCUAACUACGUGCCAGCAGCCGCGGUAACAC
rnacentral:rRNA from 1 species